UAGCCAACCUUGAGGGUGCCAGGUACCACCGGUAACACAUUUUGCAUUGAUUUUCUUUAUAGACUGCUGAUUUUGUUAUUUUAUAAUUUUGCUUCCAGAUUUUUUUCCAAUCUUCCAGGUUAAUGUUGUGCCCUACAUUCCUUGCCCAUGCAAUCAUUGGGCCCUUAACUAUCUCUUCCGCCAUUUCAAAUUCUAAUAGAGAGUUACAUAAUUGAGAAAUUAGUUUUCCAU